rnacentral:rRNA from 1 species
CCUACGGUGGGCAGCAGUGGGGCAUAUUGGGCAAUGGAGGCAACUCUGACCCCGAAACGCCGCGUAAAUGAUGAAGGUCUUCGGAUUGUAAAGUUCUGUGAUGGGGGAUGAACACAAUGACGGUACCCCAAUAGCAAGCCACGGCUAACUACGUGCCAGCAGCCGCGGUAAUACGUAGGUGGCACGCGUGAUCCGGACUGACUGGGCGUAAAGGGUGCGUAGGUGGUUUAGUAAGUUGGCGGUGUAAUUCCGGGGCUCAACCUCGGCGCUACCGCCAAAACUAUUAGACUAGAGGGCAGGAGGGGUAAGGGGAAUGUCUAGUGUAGCGGUGGAAUGCGUAGAUAUUAGGAGGAACAUCAGGGGCGAAGGCGACUUACUGGACUGUAACUGACACUGAGGCACGAAAGCGUGGGGAGCAAACAGGAUUAGAUACCCUUGUAGUC